CUGAACUGCCGAACAGGCAGCUAAGAAA
rnacentral:other from 1 species